rnacentral:rRNA from 1 species
UGGUGGAGUGAUUUGUCUGGUUAAUUCCGAUAACGAACGAGACCUUAACCUGCUAACUAGAUAUGCCCAUUAUAUGGGUACAAUCUUCUUAGAGGGACUAUGUUUUGAUAAAUACAUGGAAGUUUGAGGCAAUAACA